rnacentral:snRNA from 1 species
GUGCUCGCUUCGGCAGCACAUAUACUAAAAUUAGAACAAUACAGAGAAGAUUAGCAUGGUCCCUACACAAGGAUAACAAGCAUGAAGAGCAAUACAGCAUC